GGCCCUACGGGGUGCAGCAGGCGAGAAACCUUUGCAAUGUGCGAAAGCACGACAAGGUUAAUCCGAGUGUCUUCUGCUAAAGAAGUC
rnacentral:rRNA from 1 species